CCCCUAGAUGUUCUGGGCCGCACGCGCGCUACACUGAGCAGUUCAACAAGUCUUAACCUUGGCCGAUAGGUCUGGGUAAUCUUUGAACGCUGUUCGUGAUUGGGAUAGACCUUUGCAAUUAUGGGUCUUCAACGAGGAAUUCCUAGUAAACGCAAGUCAUCAGCUUGCAUUGAUUACGUCCCUGCCCUUUGUACACACCGCCCGUCGCACCUACCGAUUGAAUGGUCCGGUGAAAUCUCGGGACGGCGGCUUGGUCGCUUGCGUCCGACUGCUGAAACUUGAUUAAACCAUAUCAUUUAGAGGAAGGUGAANUCGUAACA
rnacentral:rRNA from 1 species